GACGAACGCUGGCGGCGUGCUUAACACAUGCAAGUCGAACGGAAAGGCCCUGCUUUUGUGGGGUGCUCGAGUGGCGAACGGGUGAGUAACACGUGAGUAACCUGCCCUUGACUUUGGGAUAACUUCAGGAAACUGGGGCUAAUACCGGAUAGGAGCUCCUGCUGCAUGGUGGGGGUUGGAAAGUUUCGGCGGUUGGGGAUGGACUCGCGGCUUAUCAGCUUGUUGGUGGGGUAGUGGCUUACCAAGGCUUUGACGGGUAGCCGGCCUGAGAGGGUGACCGGCCACAUUGGGACUGAGAUACGGCCCAGACUCCUACGGGAGGCAGCAGUGGGGAAUAUUGCACAAUGGGCGGAAGCCUGAUGCAGCAACGCCGCGUGCGGGAUGACGGCCUUCGGGUUGUAAACCGCUUUCGCCUGUGACGAAGCGUGAGUGACGGUAAUGGGUAAAGAAGCACCGGCUAACUACGUGCCAGCAGCCGCGGUGAUACGUGGGGUGCGAGCGUUGUCCGGAUUUAUUGGGCGUAAAGGGCUCGUAGGUGGUUGAUCGCGUCGGAAGUGUAAUCUUGGGGCUUAACCCUGAGCGUGCUUUCGAUACGGGUUGACUUGAGGAAGGUAGGGGAGAAUGGAAUUCCUGGUGGAGCGGUGGAAUGCGCAGAUAUCAGGAGGAACACCAGUGGCGAAGGCGGUUCUCUGGGCCUUUCCUGACGCUGAGGAGCGAAAGCGUGGGGAGCGAACAGGCUUAGAUACCCUGGUAGUCCACGCUGUAAACGGUGGGUACUAGGUGUGGGGUCCAUUCCACGGGUUCCGUGCCGUAGCUAACGCUUUAAGUACCCCGCCUGGGGAGUACGGCCGCAAGGCUAAAACUCAAAGGAAUUGACGGGGCCCCGCACAAGCGGCGGAGCAUGCGGAUUAAUUCGAUGCAACGCGUAGAACCUUACCCGGGUUUGACAUGGAUCGGGAGCGCUCAGAGAUGGGUGUGCCUCUUUUGGGGUCGGUUCACAGGUGGUGCAUGGCUGUCGUCAGCUCGUGUCGUGAGAUGUUGGGUUAAGUCCCGCAACGAGCGCAACCCUUGUUCACUGUUGCCAGCACGUUAUGGUGGGGACUCAGUGGAGACCGCCGGGGUCAACUCGGAGGAAGGUGGGGAUGACGUCAAGUCAUCAUGCCCCUUAUGUCCAGGGCUUCACGCAUGCUACAAUGGCUGGUACAGAGAGUGGCGAGCCUGUGAGGGUGAGCGAAUCUCGGAAAGCCGGUCUCAGUUCGGAUUGGGGUCUGCAACUCGACCUCAUGAAGUCGGAGUCGCUAGUAAUCGCAGAUCAGCAACGCUGCGGUGAAUACGUUCCCGGG
rnacentral:rRNA from 1 species